CCUACGGGCGGCAGCAGUGAGGAAUAUUGGUCAAUGGGCGUAAGCCUGAACCAGCCAAGUCGCGUGAGGGAUGAAGGUUCUAUGGAUCGUAAACCUCUUUUAUAAGGGAAUAAAGUGCGGGACGUGUCCCGUUUUGUAUGUACCUUAUGAAUAAGGAUCGGCUAACUCCAUGCCAGCAGCCGCGGUAAUACGGAGGAUCCGAGCGUUAUCCGGAUUUAUUGGGUUUAAAGGGUGCGUAGGCGGCCUGUUAAGUCAGCUGUGAAAGUCUGUGGCUCAACCAUAGAAUUGCCGUUGAUACUGGGAGGCUUGAGUAUGUUUGAGGUAGGCGGAAUGCGUGGUGUAGCGGUGAAAUGCUUAGAUAUCACGCAGAACCCCGAUUGCGAAGGCGGCUUGCUGGACAUUAACUGACGCUGAGGCGCGAAAGCGUGGGGAGCAAACAGGAUUAGAUACCCGUGUAGUC
rnacentral:rRNA from 1 species